GGCAGAGGUUUCAGGAGGCUGGAAUGCAAUGAAUGUCCUUCCCCCGCUUGAAAUACACCUCUGGCAAAUUCUUUUCCUCGGGAGAGAGAAAACUGACUCAAAUUCAGUCUCUGGAGGUGUGAGAAUAAGGCUGGAAACAGACCUAAGCAGAAUCGUGGUGCCGGUGAUGUCUGCCGUUGGUGCCUGAGCAGAUCCAUCCUGUGCCAGAGGCUGAUAUUCUAAAGUCUGCCCCAGGAUCCAAGAUGGCUGUUGGAGUUCUAACCAUCUCACAUAUGUUCCAGGCAAAGAGGAAGUAGGACAUGAACAGAAACUUUUCAAAAGAAGACAAAAUAAUGGCCAAAAAACACA